GCUAAUAACCGCAUAAAAUUAGAUUAUCGCAUGAUAAUCAAUUGAAAAGGUAGCAAAUGCAUCACUACCAGAUGGACCUGCGUUGUAUUAGCUAGUUGGUGGGGUAACGGGCUCACCAAGGCGACGAUACAUAGCCGACCUGAGAGGGUGAUCGGCCACACUGGGACUGAGACACGGCCCAGACUCCUACGGGAGGCAGCAGAC
rnacentral:rRNA from 1 species